UUUUAGUCCCUCCAAUGCCGCCGCCACCAACUCCCUCAGCUCAACUCAGUUAACAAUCAGUCCAAACUCAAGUGCCGCCACCACCAAUUCCCUCAACUCCCUCAGGGAUUUUUGAAGCAGUCGAGCUGUUUUACUAUCCACUACGCCUCCUUUGCGAAUUUCACUGAAAUAGCUUGAAAGGCCCUAAUCAUGGUGGAACAGACAUUUUUGAAGCAGCCCAAAGUGUUUCUAAGUGUUUUGUUUCAGAAAAUUGAAAAAAAAAAAAUCAAAUUUCAUUUCCAAAAAAUCUGUGGAGGGGAGGAAACCCGAAAACCAUUUCUGGAAAAGCAUUGGAUUGAGUAUCAAGACCCCCAGGGAAGCCAUUGAAGGUUCUUGCUUCUCAGUUAUUCCAUUUCUGUUUCUAUGUUUGUGUAUAUAGCUAAACAUUGUGUGUUGGUUGUAUUUUGAGCAUGACUACGUGGUAGGCUAUAUUUAUGUC